rnacentral:rRNA from 1 species
CGGAGGAAAAGAAACCAACAGGGAUUGCCUCAGUAACGGCGAGUGAAGCGGCAAGAGCUCAAAUUUGAAAGCUGGCCCCUUCGGGGUCCGCAUUGUAAUUUGCAGAGGAUGCUUCGGGAGCGGCCCCCAUCUAAGUGCCCUGGAACGGGCCGUCAUAGAGGGUGAGAAUCCCGUCUGGGAUGGGGUGCCCGCGCCCGUGUGAAGCUCCUUCGACGAGUCGAGUUGUUUGGGAAUGCAGCUCUAAAUGGGUGGUAAAUUUCAUCUAAAGCUAAAUACUGGCCGGAGACCGAUAGCGCACAAGUAGAGUGAUCGAAAGAUGAAAAGCACUUUGAAAAGAGAGUUAAACAGCACGUGAAAUUGUUGAAAGGGAAGCGCUUGCGACCAGACUCGCUCGCGGGGUUCAGCCGGCCUUCGGGCCGGUGUACUUCCCCGCGGGCGGGCCAGCGUCGGUUUGGGCGGCCGGUCAAAGGCCCUCGGAAUGUAACGCCCCCCGGGGCGUCUUAUAGCCGAGGGUGCCAUGCGGCCAGCCCGGACCGAGGAACGCGCUUCGGCUCGGACGCUGGCAUAAUGGUCGUAAGCGACCCGUC